GUUGGAGCUAUCCAGAUCACUCAAAUCACAGUGAUAAAGAUCGCACGCGAAGAACUGGCCGCUGAACUUAACCCUCCGCCUCCGCGCGUGGAGAUUACGCUCUUCUCUGUCGUCGACUUCCUCCUUCUCUAAGUGUACAAAGUCAGUGGGUACACUAGAAGAGAUGUUCUCUAGCAUUCCUUACACUCACUCAUGAUAUGACAAGUGUAACUGCCAAGAAUAGUUACAGACUUGUUAUGCUACUAUGGAUAAGAAGAUUCAUCUGAAAACAAGUAUAGUUUCACCUCAACGAUUUUCAACAAAUGCUUUUUAUUUAGAAAACAUGGUUGUCGAGGUUAUGUAUGUGAACAUGUGAUUCUCAACAAUUCUUUCUACAUAUCUAAUGGUUAAAAUACUAG